rnacentral:lncRNA from 1 species
AUCUAAGACAUUAUUACCAUGACAUAAUAGUAUAAAAGUAACUUUAUGAUGAUUCAAUUCUGUUAGUGUGCAUUUAGGUUUCGUCAUCAGGUGUCGCCGUCGUGGUUAGGUAAGAGCUAUGAAUUGUGGGUUGAGAGUUAACAUGUGUUUAUCUUUUUGAAUACCAUGCGUACUACCCAUCCAUCUUUCUGAAUUACUGAUAUAGUGUAGUCGAAUUGAAUGUAUCAUUGCAUUUUUUCCUUGAUGUUAAACCUGCACGUAUUUUAGAGCAUUAAUCAAUUCUUUUUAUUUCUGUUCCAGACUGUUUAGGCAAGCAGACAGGGGAACAAGAUCGAAACGCAACUUAGUUUAUCUGCAAAGAAGUAAGGUUGGUAUAUAGUAUGUGCCAUGAUAUGGUAGACUGUGACAUGAUAUACUUAGUGGUAUAUAGUCAAUGUUUGCUGCACUUGGUUGUUGAAGUUAAAACUUCAAACUGAUUCUUUUACUCUUUCUUCUGCUACCUCUAUUAAUUUUGUUUAUUGUAUAAUUAUGACAGGGAUGUCUGGACGAGACAAGGAUAAGGGUAAGGCUCAUGCUGUAGAUCAUGGGAAGCCGAAGAAAAAGAAGAAUGGAAGAAUAGAUGUUUCCUCAGACCCUACCAGACAGUGGGUUCGGCCGACGGGGGUUAUCUUCCGUAACAUUGAUGAACGAACUG